rnacentral:rRNA from 1 species
UGGGAAUUUUGGACAAUGGGCGCAAGCCUGAUCCAGCCAUGCCGCGUGCGGGAAGAAGGCCUUCGGGUUGUAAACCGCUUUUGCCAGGGAAGAAAUCUUCUGAGUUAAUACCUCGGGAGGAUGACGGUACCUGAAGAAUAAGCACCGGCUAACUACGUGCCAGCAGCCGCGGUAAUACGUAGGGUGCAAGCGUUAAUCGGAAUUACUGGGCGUAAAGCGUGCGCAGGCGGUUUUGUAAGACGGAGGUGAAAUCCCCGGGCUCAACCUGGGAACUGCCUUUGUGACUGCAAGGCUUGAGUGCGGCAGAGGGGGAUGGAAUUCCGCGUGUAGCAGUGAAAUGCGUAGAUAUGCGGAGGAACACCGAUGGCGAAGGCAAUCCCCUGGGCCUGCACUGACGCUCAUGCACGAAAGCGUGGGGAGCAAACAGGAUUAGAUACCCUGGUAGUCCACGCCCUAAACGAUGUCAACUGGUUGUUGGGGAAGGUUCCUUCUCAGUAACGUAGCUAACGCGUGAAGUUGACCGCCUGGGGAGUACGGCCGCAAGGUUGAAACUCAAAUGAAUUGAC